CCGGAAUUAUUGGGCGUAAAGAGCUCGUAGGCGGUUUGUCGCGUCUGCUGUGAAAACUCGGGGCUUAACUCCGGGCCUGCAGUGGGUACGGGCAGACUAGAGUGCGGUAGGGGAGACUGGAAUUCCUGGUGUAGCGGUGAAAUGCGCAGAUAUCAGGAGGAACACCGGUGGCGAAGGCGGGUCUCUGGGCCGUAACUGACGCUGAGGAGCGAAAGCGUGGGGAGCGAACAGG
rnacentral:rRNA from 1 species